GGAUCUCUGAGUCAGCUGCGCUUGCCCCCGAACCCCGCUUAAACUUAUACCCCUGCCUGUUAUCUAUCGAAACUAGCACUGACCUGUAGAUAAGUCGAUUCUGCAUUUUAAAAUGAAGUUUACGACUAAAAUUUCUCGACUUAUACACGGGUAUAUAUUACAUUGUUACAUAGCUGAAAAGAGACUUGUGUCCAUCAAGUUCAGCCUUCCUCACAUUUGUUUUUGCUGUUGAUCCAAAAGAAGGCAAAAAAACCAAAAACCAGUUUGAGGCACUUCGAACUUUGCAACAAACUAGAAAAAG